rnacentral:misc_RNA from 1 species
UACGGAGGGGGCUAGCGUUGUUCGGAAUCAUUGGGCGUAAAGCGCGCGCAGGCGGAUUGGUAAGUCAGGUGUGAAAUCUCGAGGCUCAACCUCGAAACUGCGCCUGAAACUAUUGGUCUAGAAUGUCGGAGGGGGCAGGGGAAUUUCACGUGUAGGGGUAAAAUCCGUAGAGAUGUGAAGGAACACCCGAGGCGAAGGCGCCUGCCUGGACGACUAUUGACGCUGAGGCGCGAAAGCGUGGGGAGCAAACAGG